rnacentral:lncRNA from 1 species
UGGCCGUCUGACCUCGGCAAAUACACGUUUAAUACCGCCGUGAACCGAAGUCUGCCGCUCAGAUUCCCGCUGCUUUGCUAUGCCCUUAGACUGCUCGCGCCUGCAGCAACAAUGUAUAGGGAUCAAAUCUACUGUAACGGGCAGUGCUUGAGGAUUUCUCAGCUUCCGGCAUGAUUUACUGGGUGACUUCUUUCUGUUGCAACCAAAGCAACCAAUAGCAUAAAUAAGAUUAUUUAGCUGCAAAGGGCACCAGCUUGCAGGGAUCCCAGCAAGGAGGACCAGCAGCAGCAGCCAUAACUUCAGACUUCCUGUACAACCACCAGCAAGCUGACCAGUCAGGCUUUGUUCAGUUUCCACAUCUGUAAAAUCAGCUCAAAACAUGAAGGAGAUUCUGAGUUUUAUUUAAAAAUAAAAUUGUUGCAGUCAUCUUUUUUGCAAGGAGAGCCUAGGACCUACGGAUAUAGCAGAAGAACACAAGUGGCUGUACCCCAUGCCAGCCUAUCAGGAGGUUUUAAGUGAGAAAAGAAAACUCCCUUCACGCAGUGCAGUGUUUUACUAGUUGAAUCACCCUUCAUGUUCUCAACAGUCGGGGCCCAGCUGUGUUCCAGACCAAAUAAUGACAAGAAAAGUCAGAUGAGCUAAUAGGAGCUGGGAAGGGAGACCAAGACUUGUCCAGAUUAACGAAAGGAUUCAAACCUAUGUCAUCUCAGUCUUAAUGCAGCAUCCCAGUGAUAUAUGCUUAUUUAGCAGUUUACAUCUGGUGCCUAAUCCAAAGUGUAAGCUCAUCUCAUUGCCCCUCCUUGCAUUCCUACGCUAGCUUCGUGCUUUGUGUGACAGCAGUAAGCGUUCAGUGGGUGGGGAACAUGAACUUCAC